rnacentral:rRNA from 1 species
CCUACGGGUGGCAGCAGUGGGGAAUAUUGCACAAUGGGCGCAAGCCUGAUGCAGCCAUGCCGCGUGUGUGAAGAAGGCCUUCGGGUUGUAAAGCACUUUCAGCGGGGAGGAAGGCGGUGAGGUUAAUAACCUCAUCGAUUGACGUUACCCGCAGAAGAAGCACCGGCUAACUCCGAGCCAGCAGCCGCGGUAAUACGGAGGGUGCAAGCGUUAAUCGGAAUUACUGGGCGUAAAGCGCACGCAGGCGGUCUGUCAAGUCGGAUGUGAAAUCCCCGGGCUCAACCUGGGAACUGCAUUCGAAACUGGCAGGCUAGAGUCUUGUAGAGGGGGGUAGAAUUCCAGGUGUAGCGGUGAAAUGCGUAGAGAUCUGGAGGAAUACCGGUGGCGAAGGCGGCCCCCUGGACAAAGACUGACGCUCAGGUGCGAAAGCGUGGGGAGCGAACAGGAUUAGAUACCCCGGUAGUC